AACGAACGCUGGCGGCAUGCCUAACAUAUGCAAGUCGAACGAGACCUUCGGGUCUAGUGGCGCACGGGUGCGUAACGCGUGGGAACCUGCCCUUAGGUUCGGAAUAACUCCCCGAAAGGGGUGCUAAUACCGGAUAAUGUCUUCGGACCAAAGAUUUAUCGCCUUUGGAUGGGCCCGCGUUGGAUUAGCUAGUUGGUAGGGUAAAAGCCUACCAAGGCGACGAUCCAUAGCUGGUCUGAGAGGAUGAUCAGCCACACUGGGACUGAGACACGGCCCAGACUCCUACGGGAGGCAGCAGUGGGGAAUAUUGGACAAUGGGCGAAAGCCUGAUCCAGCAAGGCCGCGUGAGUGAUGAAGGCCUUAGGGUUGUAAAGCUCUUUUACCCGGGAUGAUAAUGACAGUACCGGGAGAAUAAGCUCCGGCUAACUCCGU
rnacentral:rRNA from 1 species